GUAGGGAAUAUUGGGCAAUGGUCGGAAGACUGACCCAGCCAUGCCGCGUGCAGGAAGACGGCCCUCUGGGUUGUAAACUGCUUUUAUCUGGGAAGAAAAAGGCCAUGCGUGGCAAAUUGCCGGUACCAGAUGAAUAAGCACCGGCUAACUCCGUGCCAGCAGCCGCGGCAAUACGGAGGGUGCGAGCGUUGUCCGGAUUUAUUGGGUUUAAAGGGUGCGUAGGCGGCUGAUUAAGUCAGCGGUGAAAGACUUCGGCUUAACCGGAGCAGUGCCGUUGAUACUGGUUGGCUUGAGUGUCGGAGGGGUACAUGGAAUUGAUGGUGUAGCGGUGAAAUGCAUAGAUACCAUCAGGAACACCGAUAGCGAAGGCAUUGUACUGGCCGACAACUGACGCUGAUGCACGAAAGUGUGGGGAUCGAACAGGAUUAGAAACCCCAGUAGUCC
rnacentral:rRNA from 1 species